rnacentral:rRNA from 1 species
GACGAACGCUGGCGGCGUGCCUAAUACAUGCAAGUUGAGCGCUGAAGGUUGGUACUUGUACCAACUGGAUGAGCAGCGAACGGGUGAGUAACGCGUGGGGAAUCUGCCUUUGAGCGGGGGACAACAUUUGGAAACGAAUGCUAAUACCGCAUAAAAACUUUAAACACAAGUUUUAAGUUUGAAAGAUGCAAUUGCAUCACUCAAAGAUGAUCCCGCGUUGUAUUAGCUAGUUGGUGAGGUAAAGGCUCACCAAGGCGAUGAUACAUAGCCGACCUGAGAGGGUGAGCGGCCACAUUGGGACUGAGACACGGCCCAAACCCCUACGGGAGGCAGCAGUAGGGAAUCUUCGGCAAUGGACGAAAGUCUGACCGAGCAACGCCGCGGGAGUGAAGAAGGUUUUCGGAUCGUAAAACUCUGUUGGUAGAGAAGAACGUUGGUGAGAGUGGAAAGCUCAUCAAGUGACGGUAACUACCCAGAAAGGGACGGCUAACUACGUG